GAGAAAUUAGUUUUAAACUAAACUAAAACAUUAACUUGUCAAGUUAAAGAUAUUAAAUAAAUAUUUCUCC
rnacentral:tRNA from 1 species